GAUGAACGCCGGCGGUGUGCCUAAUACAUGCAAGUCGAGCGCACUGGCCCAACUGAUAUGACGUGCUUGCACUGAAUUGACGUUGGAUUCCCAGUGAGCGGCGGACGGGUGAGUAACACGUGGGCAACCUGCCCUGAAGCGGGGGAUAACAUCUGGAAACAGGUGCUAAUACCGCACAACAACGAAAACCACAUGGUUUUCGUUUCAAAGAUGGCUUCGGCUAUCACUUCAGGAUGGGCCCGCGGUGCAUUAGCUAGUUGGUAAGGUAACGGCUUACCAAGGCGAUGAUGCAUAGCCGAGUUGAGAGACUGAUCGGCCACAAUGGAACUGAGACACGGUCCAUACUCCUACGGGAGGCAGCAGUAGGGAAUCUUCCACAAUGGGCGCAAGCCUGAUGGAGCAACACCGCGUGAGUGAAGAAGGGUUUCGGCUCGUAAAACUCUGUUGUUGGAGAAGAACGUGCGUGAGAGUAACUGUUCACGCAGUGACGGUAUCCAACCAGAAAGUCACGGCUAACUACGUGCCAGCAGCCGCGGUAAUACGUAGGUGGCAAGCGUUAUCCGGAUUUAUUGGGCGUAAAGCGAGCGCAGGCGGUUGCUUAGGUCUGAUGUGAAAGCCUUCGGCUUAACCGAAGAAGUGCAUCGGAAACCGGGCGACUUGAGUGCAGAAGAGGACAGUGGAACUCCAUGUGUAGCGGUGGAAUGCGUAGAUAUAUGGAAGAACACCAGUGGCGAAGGCGGCUGUCUGGUCUGCAACUGACGCUGAGGCUCGAAAGCAUGGGUAGCGAACAGG
rnacentral:rRNA from 1 species